GGGGGGGGAAUUCUGGAAAUAGCAUGGUAUCCUUAUAAUAAUAAUAAUAAAAUUCAUUUACAAAUGUAGAGGUAUAGCAGUCAUUACUCAAAGAGUGGGCACAUGGGCAGGCAGCAAAGGUUCCAGAAUUAGAACUAGAGCACUGAGAUACCCAAAAUUCUUUUUCGUAAUGGCUCAAGUCGGUUAGAGCGUGAUGCUGAUAACUCCAAAGUUGCAGAUUUGAUCCCCGUAUGGUACAGCUGCAUAUUCCUGCAUUACAGGGGGUUGGACUAGAUGAUCCUCACGGCCCCUUCCAACUCUACAAGUCUAUGAUAAAUCUUAUUUAUUUAUGCAACUCUGCCAGACACUGGGCAAAAUGAGUCCUUCAGUCAGCCUACACAAUCAAAUAUUAAUGCAUCAUUCAGCUGAAAUUAAUUGGAGUUACUUCCAGAUAAAUUUCCAACAAUUGGACGGUAAGUCUGAUCUUGACUCUUGCUAAAAUGAGCAGCACGGAUAAUAUACAUUUGAAAUGAAACAGUGGACUUUCCACCGCCUUUUAUCUGCAGAAAUGCCCUGCGGGCAGCUAAGCUCUGGCAGUUUACACCUGCUAGUUAUUUGGACGUUUGCCUGUUCAUAUGCACCUUUGAAGAAUAUGGCCACAACUUUUUGGAUGAGUAACAAGAACAUUAUAAAGCAACAAAUGAUUGAAAAAAUCGCUUUAAAGCAUGCAUAGGUAACAUCUGCUAAUUCUUUGUGCAAUGGUGCCUAAUUUGGCCUCGUUCCCAAAGUGGCAUCGCAGUGCCAUUUCCCCAUGUUUAGUUUCACUAAUAAUCAUUAGCUAAAGGACUUAGUGCAGUCACACUGCUACUAAAACAGUUGGCACAAGAGUGAUGAAGCCAAGUGAGGAACUGAAACCUUAAUCCUCAUUAUAAUAAUAUGAUUGGACAUGGUACCUGGAGCUACUUCCUGGAAAAUGCAAGUGGCGGUAACUUGAGCUCUGGUCAGUGGUGGCCAACAUAUAAAACGCAGGUCACAUGUUAAGUUGCUUUGUUUCCUACAGGCUCUUUUAGCAGCCCUGGGCAUAUUGGAUUUAUUUCCUCUCUUGUUAAGCUAUUAAUAUUAAAGCCUGCUUUUAUAUAAAUAUGUCCAAAGUGGCUUACAGCAGAACACAAAAUACUAUAAAGCAAAUCCAUACUAUCGAAAUACUUAACAGCUGCAUCUUGAUUUUUCUGCUAAGUAUCAAUCCACCACAUCUGCAAAACUGAAACUGGGUCCAAGAUUGAGGAAAGGCAUGCCGAUAUUAAAAGUGUUUUUCCUUAUCAUGGAAAGGAUGAAAGAGAUGAGUUGAUCUCCUUACAUUUAAAGAGAUGUUUUCUGCUGGUACACAACAGCUGUGCAGGAUUGUAUCACUCAUAUCAAAAUCAUAGAAUUGUGGAGUUGGAAGGGACCACGAGCGGCAUCUAGUCCAACCCCUUGAAAUGCAGGAUUUUUUUGCCCAAGUUGGGGCUCGAACCCACAACCUAGAGAUUAAGAGUCUUGUGCUCUACCAACUGAAAAUGGAACAGGGAUUCUCCUGCCCAUCUUCCCAUGCAAGAUUUCAAAUAGGAAAACAAAUUUUUAUGGAACUUUGAAGAUACGAUGUCGAAAUUUACUAUAGAUACAAGUGCAUACUGUAUGUUGAAGUUGUUGUUGUUUUAAACGCCUCAAGUUGUUUCAGUUUGGAGGUAACCGUUUCACAAUGAUCGUACCUUGGGGGAAUGCAUUGUACGUACCAUGUAUGCACUGUGCACAGAUUAACGUACUUGCAUCAAAUAAAAUAAAUGGAAGUUUAUAUUGUGUCCUUUGGGACUCUGCCAAUGUGAGCAACAUGUACUGCAUUGUUUGCUGAACAGCAGCCUGCACUGCUGUAUCCUAAAGUGAGUUUUCAAAAAGCAGCUUGGGAUUAUAUGGUUCUCAUCAAUUUGGGCUGCCAAUUGUUCAGGUUGUUACACAAUUUAAACACAGACAUUUUUGGCAAAGAACAGUCAAGCAAAGUAUAUUCCAAGGAGCUUCUUCAGUGUAAAAUGUUGUGUAUGACCCCUCUGCUAACAACCUUUGAACUUUUCAUGGACAGCAAUGAUAUGUGUGCCUCUAAACUUACAUAGUCAGGAUUGUCCAUAUUAAUGCAAGCAAAGAAUAUGAGUAAUUAAUACCAUGAUUAUGAGGGAGGCUUUGAGAUGCAGAUAAACCUAAAAUGUUGGAUGCAUCCAAACGUAGCUUGCAGUGAACAAUGGGGUGCAGAAUACUAGUGAAGCUUUAUUUCAUAAAGCCUAGCUAUCUGGAACGUUUGCUCAUUAGAAUUCAUUUUGCACCCCUUGAUUUCAGAGCAGCUAUGCAAAACCGCUCCCAUUGAUGUAAAUGUAUAAAUUAAAUGUGUACCAGCAAGAAUACUAAUGUGUACUUAAGAAAGUCGUUUCAUAUCUCCAAGCUCCAGUUUAACAGUUUGCAAAAAUGAGUCCUCAUGAAACCAAACAAAUAUAUUGUUAGGCGGGGAGAGUAAAUAAAGUAAAUACAAAGAACAUAAGAAGUGCCUGUUGCAUCAGGCCGGUGGGCCGUCUAAGGCAGCAUUUCGUUCUCACAGUGGCCAAACCAUAGAAAGCCAGGACCUCAGCGCAGCAGCUGUCUCACUUGUGGGAAUUCUUGAUUGAAAGUUAGUAGAGGACAAAUGUAUAUAAGGUAUAAUUACAUGAAUUGCUCCCAGCUCAUUUCCUUACCUGAUCUAACAGCCAGAAAAAUGGUGACAGCAAUCACAGAGCUGGAAGACUCAUCUAGUGGUUCUUUCUAUCUACCUCCUUUAGUGAUGGCAGGUUUGAUUGGCAGGAUAUCAUGCAGCUAAUAUUUAAUAUCCCAUUAAAAACUGCGACAGACUGGCGACAAAUUUUUGUAUGCCAGACUUAAGAAGGCGCCUCUUGGCAAAGCUUUCUACUUGUUUUAGAUCAGUAACAAGCAAAGGUGGGCAGAAGCACACUGGCAUUACUCCUUCCUAAACAUCUAGGUAAUUACUUUUGACAAGUGUUUGCUGGAGAGAAGGUCAUAACUGUCAGCAUAUAAGAUCUAUGCUAAUCUGCUCAGCUGGAGAAGACUCAGGUAGCUAAUGUUUUUGUAAUUAGAAGUUGUGGGAGCCAUUUUACAACAUUGCGGCUUUGCAUUGAGAAAAAUGGUGCCACUAAUACGGUGCAAUUUCAUUUGCUAAAGUUUACAUGGCUGCUUCAUUUGGAGGUGGGGCAGAGGCAGGUGUUAGCUUGCAUGCUCCAUAUUUAGGAAAUAAUUGGUAAAUGAAAUAUUAUGCUCGAUCCAUAACUGGACUUUCUAAGAUUAUCUUUCCCCCCUUUCUCUUUUGGGCUCUCUUUUUUGCAUAGCACUUCAGUAUAAGAAACCAUGUACAAUCAUGUAAAAAACCAAGUGUGACAAUUGCGUGCACACGUUUUGCUCAGGUUUUUUUUAAAAAAAUAAAUAACUUGAAGGGCCUUUUAUCUCCUCUUCCCGCUGUUCUGCUCCCAAUCACCACCCAGAAGAAAAGAGCAAACACAAGCAUGUAUCCUUCAUGCCGGUUUCUCUUAAAGCCCCUUUCAACAUUCUGCUUUGAAAAGGAGUAAAAUUAAACUUUGCAAAAGCCUGUGUCUGUAGUGGCAUCAGUGAAGAGUGCAGCUCCUUAAUAAUUUUUAUGGUUUCAUGUUUGUUGGAUGCUUCCUUUGCAUGAUUUUUUUAAUUUAAACUUUUCAUCAUAUAACAC